rnacentral:lncRNA from 1 species
ACCCCCCAACGGAAAAAUGGCCAAAAAACGGGUGGGCUAUAGCCGUGGUGGGGGGCGUGGGCAAAGUUCGUCCGCCGGACUCGGAAUGGCCCCAGACUUUGCGGUCGGCCUCCGUGUGCCAAAAUUAGGCCACGGGCACACCCGCGCCCAAAAAUCAGCCCCAGAAGGUCGGGGUGCCAUGACCCCCCAGCGGAAAAAUGGCCAAAAAACGGGUGGGCUAUAGCCUUGGUGGGGGGCGUGGGCGAAGUUCGUCCGCCGGACUCGGAAUCGCCCCAGACUUUGCGGGCGGCCUUUGUGUGCCAAAAUUAGGCCACGGGCACAGCCGUGCCCAAAAAUCAUCCCCCGAAGGUCGGGGCGCCAAGACGCCCCAGCGGAAAAAUGGCCAAAAAACGGGUGGGCUAUAGCCUUGGUGGGGGGCGUGGGCGAAGUUCGUCCGCCGGACUCGGAAUGGCCCCAGACUUUGCGGGCGGCCUCCGUGUGCCAAAAUUAGGCCACGGGCACAGCUGCGUGCAAAAAUCAGCCCCCGAAGGUCGGGCGCCAAGACCCCCCAGCGGAAAAAUGGCUAAAAAACGGGUGGGCUAUAGCCUUGGUGGGGGGCGUGGGCGAAGUUCGUCCGCCGGACUCGGAAUGGCCCCAGACUUUGCGGGCGGCCUCCGUGUGCCACAAAUACGCCACGGGCACAGCUGCGCCCAAAAAUCAGCCCCCGAUGGUCGGGGUGCCAAGACCCCCCAUCGGAAAAAUCUCCAAAAAACGGGUGGGCUAUAGCCUUGGUGGGGGGCGUGGGCGAAGUUCGUCCGCGCGGACUCGGAAUGGUCCCAGACUUUGCGGGCGGCCUCCGUGUGCCAAAAUUAGGCCACGGGCACAGCCGCGCCCAAAAAUCAGCCCCCGAAGGUCGGGGCGCCAAGACCCCCCAGCGGAAAAAUGGCCAAAAAACGGGUGGGCUAUAGCCUUGGUGGGGGGCGUGGGCGAAGUUCGUCCGCCGGACUCGGAAUGGCCCCAGACUUUGCGGGCGGCCUCCGUGUGCCACAAAUACGCCACGGGCACAGCUGCGCCCAAAAAUCAGCCCCCGAUGGUCGGGGUGCCAAGACCCCCCAACGGAAAAAUGGCCAAAAAACGGGUGGGCUAUACCCUUGGUGGGGGGCGUGGGCGAAGUUCGUCCGCGCGGACUCGGAAUGGCCCCAGACUUUGCGGGCGGCCUCCGUGUGCCAAAAUUAGGCCACGGGCACAGCCGCGCCCAAAAAUCAGCCCCCGAAGGUCGGGGCGCCAAGACCCCCCAGCGGAAAAAUGGCCAAAAAACGGGUGGGCUAUAGCCUUGGUGGGGGGCGUGGGCGAAGUUCGUCCGCCGGACUCGGAAUGGCCCCAGACUUUGCGGGCGUCCUCCGUGUGCCAAAAUUAGGCCACGGGCACAGCCGUGCCCAAAAAUCAGCCCCCGAAGGUCGGGGCGCCAAGACGCCCCAGCGGAAGAAUGGCCAAAAAACGGGCUGGUAUUGCCUUGGUGGGGGGCGUGGGCGAAGUUCGUCCGCCGGACUCGGAAUGGCCCCAGACUUUGCGGGCGGCCUCCGUGUGCCAAAAAUAGGCCACGGGCACAGAUGCGCGCAAAAAUCAGCCCCCGAAGGUCGGGGCGCCAAGACCCCCCAGCGGAAAAAUGGCCAAAAAACGGAUGGGCUAUAGCCUUGGUGGGGGGCGUGGGCGACGUUCGUCCGCCGGACUCGGAAUGGCCCCAGACUUUGCGGGCGGCCUCCGUGUGCCAAAAUUAGGCCACGGGCACAGCUGCGUGCAAAAAUCAGCCACCGACGGUCGGGGCGCCAAGACCCCCCAGCGGAAAAUGACCAAAAAACGG